rnacentral:rRNA from 1 species
GACGAACGCUGGCGGCGUGCCUAACACAUGCAAGUCGAACGGGGAGUUAGCAAUAACUCCUAGUGGCGAACGGGUGAGUAACGCGUAGACAACCUGCCUCUAAACUGGGGACAACACCGCGAAAGUGGUGCUAAUACCGAAUGUGGUAACUUGAUCGCAUGAUCGAGUUAAGAAAGAUGGCCUCUAUUUAUAAGCUAUCGAUUAGAGAUGGGUCUGCGUCUGAUUAGCUAGUUGGUGAGGUAAUGGCUCACCAAGGCGACGAGCAGUAGCCGGUAUGAGAGGAUGAACGGCCACCCUGGGACUGAGACACGGCCCAGACUCCUACGGGAGGCAGCAGUGGGGAAUCUUCCGCAAUGGACGAAAGUCUGACGGAGCAACGCCGCGUGAGUGAAGAAGGUCUUCGGAUUGUAAAGCUCUGUCGUUUGGGACGAACGUGGGUAGUGUGAAUAAUGCUAUCUAAUGACGGUACCAAAGGAGGAAGCCACGGCUAACUACGUGCCAGCAGCCGCCGUAA